rnacentral:rRNA from 1 species
CCCUUAGAUGUCCUGGGCCGCACGCGCGCUACACUGAGUGUCUGAGGUACGAGUCUGCCUGGUCCGGCAAGGUCUAGGUAAUCGCUAAAAGACACAUCAUGCUUGGGAUAGAUUAUUGCAAAUAUUAAUCUUGAACGAGGAAUUCCUAGUAAGCGCAAGUCAACAGCUUGCGUUGAUUACGUCCCUGCCCUUUGUACACACCGCCCGUCGCUACUACUGAUUGGAUGUUUAAGCGAGGUUCUCGAACUGCUAGCGACUUAGCUUCGGUGAGGUCGCAGUGUGGGAAGUGAACCUAGCUUUGGUGUCUAGAGGAAGUAAAAGGCGUAACA